GACUACUCCGGUGGCAUAGUGGUUAUAGCGUCUGCCUCGAUUGCGGGAGGUCGUGGGUUCGAUCCCCAGCCGAGUCA